CAGCAGCCGCCGCGGGAAUACAGAGGGUGCAAGCGUUAAUCGGAAUUACUGGGCGUAAAGCGCGCGUAGGUGGUUUGUUAAGUCGGAUGUGAAAUCCCCGGGCUCAACCUGGGAACUGCAUCCGAAACUGGCAAGCUAGAGUAUGGUAGAGGGUAGUGGAAUUUCCUGUGUAGCGGUGAAAUGCGUAGAUAUAGGAAGGAACACCAGUGGCGAAGGCGACUACCUGGACUGAUACUGACACUGAGGUGCGAAAGCGUGGGGAGCAAACAGGAUUAGAUACCCCUGUAGUCCCUGUCUCUUAUAC
rnacentral:rRNA from 1 species